rnacentral:rRNA from 1 species
AAGGGCGUCUAGGUGGAUUAACAAGUCCUGUGUGAAAUCUCUUGGCUUAACCAAGAAAGGUCACAGGAAACUAUUAAUCUAGAGGUCAUGAGAGGUAAGUGGAAUUCACAGAGUAGUGGUGAAAUGCGUAGAUACUGUGAGGAACACCAGAGGCGAAAGCGACUUACUAGCAUGAAUCUGACACUAAAGCGCGAAAGUGUGGGUAGCAAACCGGAUUAGAUACCCGGGUAGUCCACACCAUAAACGAUGGAUACUAGUUAUGGGAGGCUUAGACCCCUCUGUAACGAAGCUAACGCAUUAAGUAUCCCGCCUGGGGAGUACGGCCGCAAGGUUAAAACUCAAAGAAAUUGACGGGGGCCCGCACAAGCAGCGGAGCGUGUGGUUUAAUUCGAUGAUAAGCGAAGAACCUUACCAAGGCUUGAAAUAUAUCUGACAGCUAGUGAAAGCUAGUCUCCUUCGGGCAGAUAUACAGAUGUUGCAUGGCUGUCGUCAGCUCGUGCCGUGAGGUGUUGGGUUAAGUCCCGCAACGAGCGCAACCCUCGUCGUUAGUUACUAUGUCUAGCGAGACUGCCUCUAAAAAAGAGGAGGAAGGUGGGGAUGACGUCAAGUCAGCAUGGCUCUUACGCCUUGGGCUACACACACGCUACAAUGGAUAGUACAAAGGGCUGCAAAGGAGCGAUCCGGAGCUAAUCCCAUAAAGCUAUCCCCAGUUGGAAUUACAGGCUGCAACUCGCCUGUAUGAACGCGGAGUUGCUAGUAAACGCAGGUCAGCACACUGCGUUGAA